rnacentral:tRNA from 1 species
GGAGAGAUGCCAGAGCGGUUGAAUGGGACGGUCUCGAAAAUCGUUUUCCGAUAUAUCGGAACGUGGGUUCGAAUCCCACUCUCUCCG